rnacentral:rRNA from 1 species
GUGAGGAAUAUUGCGCAAUGGAGGCAACUCUGACGCAGCCAUGCCGCGUGCAGGAAGAAGGCGCUACGCGUUGUAAACUGCUUUUAACCGGGAAGAAACCCCAGGACGUGUCCUGGGUUGACGGUACCGGAGGAAUAAGCACCGGCUAACUUCGUGCCAGCAGCCGCGGUAAUACGAAGGGUGCAAGCGUUAUCCGGAUUCAUUGGGUUUAAAGCGUGCGUAGGCGGAGCGUUAAGUCAGUGGUGAAAUCCUGCAGCUUAACUGUAGACUUGCCAUUGAUACUGGCGCUCUUGAGUGCGCUUGAAGUGGGCGGAAUGUGCCGUGUAGCAGUGAAAUGCUUAGAUAUGGCACAGAACACCAAUUGCGAAGGCAGCUCACUAAGGCGAUACUGACGCUGAGGCACGAAAGCGUGGGGAUCGAACAGGAUUAGAUACCCGAGUAGUCC